rnacentral:rRNA from 1 species
AGGGUUCGAUCAUGGCUCAGAACGUACGCUGGCGGCACGCCUAACACAUGCAAGUCGAACGAAGUAGCAAUACUUAGUGGCAGACGGGUGAGUAACAUGUGGGUAUCUGCCCUUUGGCCUGGAAUAACACGAGGAAACUUGUGCUAAUACCGGAUAAGUCUUUACAGAGAAAGCUUUAUGCACCAUUGGAUGAGCCCGCACUUGAUUAGUUUGUUGGUAGGGUAAUGGCCUACCAAGACUGUGAUCAAUAGCUGAUUUGAGAGGAUGAUCAGCCACAUUGGGACUGAGACACGGCCCAAACUCCUACGGGAGGCAGCAGUGGGGAAUCUUGCACAAUGGAGGAAACUCUGAUGCAGCGAUGCCGCGUGAGUGAAGAAGGCCCUUGGGUUGUAAAGCUCUUUCGUCGGGGAAGAAAAUGACUGUACCCGAAUAAGAAGGUCCGGCUAACUUCGUGCCAGCCGCCGCGGUAAUAC